UAAGAAGUCCUUUCAGUUGUCGUCGUUAA
rnacentral:piRNA from 1 species